GAUGAACGCUGGCGGCGUGCCUAAUACAUGCAAGUCGAGCGAACGGACGAGAAGCUUGCUUCUCUGAAGUUAGCGGCGGACGGGUGAGUAACACGUGGAUAACCUACCUAUAAGACUGGGAUAACUUCGGGAAACCGUAGCUAAUACCGGAUAAUAUUUUGAACCGCAUGGUUCAAAAGUGAAAGACGGUCUUGCUGUCACUUAUAGAUGGAUCCGCGCUGCAUUAGCUAGUUGGUAAGGUAACGGCUUACCAAGGCAACGAUGCAUAGCCGACCUGAGAGGGUGAUCGGCCACACUGAAACUGAGACACGGUCCAGACUCCUACGGGAGGCAGCAGUAGGGAAUCUUCCGCAAUGGGCGAAAGCCUGACGGAGCAACGCCGCGUGAGUGAUGAAGGUCUUCGGAUCGUAAAACUCUGUUAUUAGGGAAGAACAUAUGUGUAAGUAACUGUGCACAUCUUGACGGUACCUAAUCAGAAAGCCACGGCUAACUACGUG
rnacentral:rRNA from 1 species